rnacentral:sRNA from 1 species
UUUGGAAGUAAAAGUCGUAACAAGGUCUCCGUUGGUGAACCAGCGGAGGGAUCAUUACUGAGUUACCGCUCUAUAACCCUUUGUGAACAUACCUACAACUGUUGCUUCGGCGGGUAGGCCGUCCCCUGAAAAGGACGCCUCCCGGCCCGGACCGGACCCCCUGUGGGGCCGGACUCGGCGCCCGCCGGAGGAUAACCAAACGCUAUUUUAACGACGUUUCUUCUGAGUGGCAUAAGCAAAAUAAUCAAAACUUUUAACAACGGAUCUCUUGGUUCUGGCAUCGAUGAAGAACGCAGCGAAAUGCGAUAAGUAAUGUGAAUUGCAGAAUUCAGUGAAUCAUCGAAUCUUUGAACGCACAUUGCGCCCGCCAGCAUUCUGGCGGGCAUGCCUGUUCGAGCGUCAUUUCAACCCUCAAGCUCUGCUUGGUGUUGGGGCUCUACGGUCGACGUAGGCCCUCAAAGGUAGUGGCGGACCCUCCCGGAGCCUCCUUUGCGUAGUAACAUUUCGUCUCGCACUGGGAUCCGGAGGGACUCUUGCCGUAAAACCCCCCA